UCGUAUAAAAUGGAGGUGCUGGGGCUGUCGCUGACCUUUGAAAAAGGUCGUGCACGCCCGGAGCACUCUCUCAUAUCCAUCUCACCCCUUUGUGCAUUGCCGCGUGGGUCCCCCUUUGCGGGGAGGGCUUGCGUUUUCACAUAAAACUCGAUACGGUGUAGAAUGUUUCUUUUGCGGUCACACGCAAUCAAUA
rnacentral:misc_RNA from 1 species